GGGAUGGGGUCUCAGUGCCCAGGCUCCUGCCUGAGCCCAAAUAUUUUCACUGCAAUUUUAUCUCCCUGCAGCCUCAGCCCAGGAGCUCUAGUCGGCUGAGCCGGGCGCUGAGACUCGGUGCCAGGGGUUUUUAAUUGCAGUAUAGACGUUCCCUGAGUGCAGGUUUGUUUUAGAGGCAGCUCCCCGGAGAGCAAUGACAACCCAAGCCUGGGAGCUGUCUACCUCCAGACCCUCUGUUUCUGUCCCUUUAAACAGGCCUUAGCGAGAGUCCAUGCAAGGCUGACAGCAGGGGGAUAAUGUUACACUUUAAGAGUUUCCUAAAGGAUCACAUCUGUGUGCAGGCAGAAGAUUGGGUGGUUGUUCUGGACUUGCUGUGGGGAGGAGCAAAGUGAAACCUCCCCAGGGAUUAGGGAGGGCAGCUAUAGGAGAUUACAGCAUCCUUCAGCAAUGUGCUUGCUGGAGACGGUUUGUGUGUUUUGGGAACCGUUCCAGGGGGUUUCACAGGCAGCCCUUGCUGCAGGAUGGGUUGAUUACACUGUGGCUUAGGCCCUUCCAGGCUGGGUCAAGCGGGAUUUCUCCUACACAUAUUUGCACUGAAGAUGCUGUGUGCUGGGAGUGGAUCGGGAUUAAUAACAUUCAGAUGAUAAGCACAUUUCAAAUGAGUUUCUUUUUGAAUUUCAUAUUGGACAGCACCAGAUUUAUGUAACUCAUUUAUAACGCUAGUCUUCAGACUGUGCUAUCCAUCUAGCCCAGCUCCGAGAGCCACCCCUGGUGCUCUCGCAGCUGCAGGGAAGCUGGAUUCGGACUUCGUGAAAUGAUCUCUGAUUCUGCUGCUUUGGGUGGGGGUGGCGGCGAAGGGAGAGAUGUCCGGUUUGAAAAAUCUGCAGCGAUAGCUUAUGGAGCAGGUGAAAGGGCUCCAAGAGCCACAUGUUGCAGUUUGGUGGUGUGAGAGGAGAGCUGAGGAGUUCAAUUUCAUGUCUGAGGCUCCAAUCCAGGCUGAACUCAGCCAUCAAGUGCAUGCUGCAGAGAGUCUGAGCACAUGCCCACGGAGAUCAGUCCUCUCGUCAGAUCUGGGGAGUCCUGAGUGAGGAAGGACCGCUGCGGCGAUGUGACUGUGUUCCCUGCAUCAUCCCUGUCUGUCUCCCUGCUUGGACACCACACAUUCAUCUUCCCCUCCCCGCCCCGUUCCAGCAGAAAUGUUCCCUUCACAGGUCUCGGGACAUGGAUGCAUUGGGAGCCGGUCACGUCUGUUUCCCCUCGACUGGUGCUUUCUGCUGACAGACUCACCCUGGGAAUACAAGCUUGUCUCCAAGCAUAUGGCAUCACCACCGUCCUGAGAACUCCCUCUCAGCCCCACCCUCAUGCCCAGAUCAUGCGAAGAAAGAGCAUCUAUACGUUCCAACAGGGAUGGGAGCAAGUGAUGACAAAGCUCUGCCCUUGCUGACGCAUGUCUGGGAGAACGGCAGUUACAGCAGAGCCGAGCCUUCACCAGGAACAGAAUGUGAAUUGGAUUCAGAGAACAGGAAAGCCUGUCAGGCUGAUCUGGCCGUCCCAGGACAUUCCCUUUGGUACAGCUCUUGUUUAUGGGACUUGCAGCCCUCCCCCUUCCUUCCCUGAUGGUUUCUCAUUUUCUGGCCAGGCCCUAGAGUCUCCACUUCUGUUCAAAACAGUUUUUCUUUACGUUGGCAUUGGAACAAAAGUGAAUCACGCAGCGUUUGCUGACUUCACUUUGUAUAAAGAUUAGGAAAACAGUUGAGAUAAAUACUGGCUUCAGAAUGUGGAAUAAUCUGGAUCAUUUUAACAGACCACGCCAUGGCCAGCAACUCAGAACCCUUCCCCUUUCCAGAUACGCGGCUUGAGGUCCCACCAGUCUCCACUUCCCACCUAGCCCGCGAUUAACUCCGCACUUUCUUAUAAACUCUGCCAGCUUCCUAUAGACGAACUAAUCACAAUGCUGCACAGUGCUUGGGUUCCCGCCCCUUCCAGCUGACCUCUGAGGAAGCGAAAGCUUUAGUCUGUGAAUUUUUGGGGUGUGUAAUUGUGAACAGUAAUUGCAGACUGAUUUUCCUCUCCUCUGGCUUUUCCCCUCACCACAUGUGCAUGCUUUAGCCUUGCCUGUCUCAGACCUAUUCAGAAUGCUGUUCCCAUCACUUUGACCAUGUCCAUUCCCCUGGCUUCUCCUUCUCUAUCGCGUCAAACAUCAGCUGCUUCUCUUCACUUUCACGGCCACGCCUGGCCUGUCCCCACCCUCCCUAUCAGCUCCUACCUCUGAUCAGCCAAUGAUGCCACCUCCAUCACCCACUUGUGACAUUUUCAAAGCAGCCUCUUCCUCGCAAGCUUUCUCCCACGCUGCCCCUCACACUUGGGAGAAGCUGCCUCCUUCUUCUCCUUCAAAUUCCUCCUUAGAACUCUCUUCUGGUGCGAUCCCUACAGACACCUGACCACAGCUAGGAUGUUGGUGUGCUGAGACCACUGCCUGUCAUGCUGACCAAUAUUGUCUCGUUGCUUCUUUGUACUCCACCUGUCUGUCACCAUCUGGCGUCUCUUGUCUUAAACUGAGAUCGUAAGCUC